rnacentral:rRNA from 1 species
CCCUUAGAUGUUCUGGGCCACACACGCGCUACACUGAAGGAGGCAGCGUGUACUCCUGGAUCGAAAGAUUUGGGUAACCCGCGAAUCUCCUUCGUGCUAGGGAUUGAGGUUUGCAAUUAUCCUUCAUGAACGAGGAAUUCCCAGUAAGUGCAAGUCAUAAGCUUGCGCUGACUACGUCCCUGCCCUUUGUACACACCGCCCGUCGCUACUACCGAUUGAAUGAUUUAGUGAGGACUUCGGACUGGGACCGAUGCGGCUUUCGGGCUGCGUCGGUAUUCUGGAAAGAUGUCCAAACUGUAUCAUUUAGAGGAAGUAAAANUCGUAACA